rnacentral:rRNA from 1 species
CGUGCCAGCAGCCGCGGUAAUACAUAGGUCACAAGCGUUAUCCGGAAUUAUUGGGCGUAAAGCGUUCGUAGGCGGUUUGUUAAGUCUGGAGUUAAAGACUGGGGCUCAACCCCAGCCCGCUCUGGAUACUGGCUGACUAGAGUUACAUAGAGGUAAGUGGAAUUCUUAGUGGAGCGGUGGAAUGCGUAGAUAUUAGGAAGAACACCAAUGGCGAAGGCAGCUUACUGGAUGUACACUGACGCUCAGGGACGWAAGCGUGGGGAGCAAACAGGAUUAGAUACCCUGGUAGUCCACGCCGUAAACGAUGAUCAUUAGCCGCUAGAAUAUUUAGUGGCGCAGCUAACGCAUUAAAUGAUCCGCCUGAGUAGUAUGCUCGCAAGAGUGAAACUUAAAGGAAUUGACGGGGACCCGCACAAGCGGUGGAGCAUGUGGUUUAAUUUGAAGAUACGCGUAGAACCUUACCCACUCUUGACAUCUUCCGCAAUACUAUGGAGACAUAGUGGAGGUUAACGGAAUGACAGAUGGUGCAUGGUUGUCGUCAGCUCGUGCCGUGAGGUGUUAGGUUAAGUCCUGCAACGAGCGCAACCCCUGUCUUUAGUUACUAACGGAUAAUGCCGAGGACUCUAGAGAGACUGACUGGGUAACCAGUAGGAAGGUGGGGACGACGUCAAAUCAUCAUGCCUCUUACGAGUGGGGCAACACACGUGCUACAAUGGACGGUACAAAGAGAAGCAAUAUGGUGACAUGGAGCAAACCUCAAAAAACCGUUCUCAGUUCGGAUUGAAGUCUGAAACUCGACUUCAUGAAGUUGGAAUCGCUAGUAAUCGUAGAUCAGCUACGCUACGGUGAAUACGUUCUCGGGUCUUGUACACACCGCCCGUC